AUAUAGCCCAGAUGGAAGUGGAAAUCCUUGUGUGCCGGUUUUCGGCACAUAAGAUUGUAAUGGACAGCUGGAAAUGGC
rnacentral:sRNA from 1 species